CCUAAUGGGUCAUAUCUGAGCCCGGGUCUCCUACCCAAUAUCCGACCCGCCCAGUUUGUUAUUUUGUAUAUACAUCUGUAUAGUUAGGUGAGAAGUAGCUUCUAGAGAUCAGAUUUUUAUUUUCAUUUUCCAAUACCGACUCUUCGGUUCUCUCAAUCUCUCCUCCUUCUCUCUACUUUCUCUCUCAAGAUUCUCUGUGAUUUUCUUAGUUAAUCUGAAUAUUGACAUGGUAUUAGAGCCUUACAACGAUCCGAUCAUGUUUAUUUGCAUAUCGGUGUCUCUUUUGAGCGUUUGUUUGACGAUUUUUUUGAGGAUUUAUCUGAGACCGACCGGUCGAUGAUGCUUCCGACUUUGAUCGGACAUGGUUCAGAGUGUUUUACACCAUGAUAUCCGGGUGUAUCUUCGUGACCUCAACGUACUAAGAAUCUCUGUCGGUUUUGGGUGAUUUUGGUGAAUUAUUGGUAUCUAGGGUUUUCGGUGGUUUUGACUUGCUGUUUUACCACCUCCCGGUGGUCCGAUUCUCAUCUCGUGGAUGUUUGGGUACCUUUCCGACAUCGUUUCUCAUAUUUNNN
rnacentral:lncRNA from 1 species